GAGGAAAAGGAAACCAACCGGGAUUGCCUCAGUAACGGCGAGUGAAGCGGCAAAAGCUCAAAUUUGAAAUCUGCGUAAGCCGAGUUGUAAUUUGAAGAUGGCUACUUUGGUAAUGGCUCUUGUCUAUGUUCCUUGGAACAGGACGUCACAGAGGGUGAGAAUCCCGUGCGAUGAGAUGUCCAUUACCGUGUAAAGUGCUUUCGAAGAGUCGAGUUGUUUGGGAAUGCAGCUCUAAGUGGGUGGUAAAUUCCAUCUAAAGCUAAAUAUUGGCGAGAGACCGAUAGCGAACAAGUACAGUGAUGGAAAGAUGAAAAGAACUUUGAAAAGAGAGUGAAAAAGUACGUGAAAUUGUUGAAAGGGAAGGGCUUGAGAUCAGACUUGGUAUUUUGUAUGGCUUGCUUUCGGGCGGGUCCUCUGCAGUUUACUGGGCCAGCAUCGGUUUGGGUGGCAGGAUAAUAGCAUAGGAAUGUGGCUCUACUUCGGUGGAGUGUUAUAGCCUUUGUUGAUACUGCCUGCC
rnacentral:rRNA from 1 species